CACUGUACGUAGUUUGAUCAGUGGCUCAGAUUAGAACGCUGGCGGCAUGCCUAACACAUGCAAGUCGAACGGAGGGUAGGGGCAACUCUACUUCAGUGGCGGACGGGUGAGGAAUGCGUCGGAAUCUACCCUAUGGUGGGGGAUAACACAGGGAAACUUGUGCUAAUACCGCAUAAUGUCGAGAGACCAAAGCAGGGGACCGCAAGGCCUUGCGCGAUAGGAUGAGCCGACGCCCGAUUAGCUAGUUGGUAGGGUAAAGGCUUACCAAGGCGACGAUCGGUAGCUGGUCUGAGAGGAUGAUCAGCCACACUGGGACUGAGACACGGCCCAGACUCCUACGGGAGGCAGCAGUGGGGAAUAUUGGACAAUGGGCGCAAGCCUGAUCCAGCAAUGCCGCGUGAGUGAUGAAGGCCUUAGGGUUGUAAAGCUCUUUUACCAGGGAUGAUAAUGACAGUACCUGGAGAAUAAGCUCCGGCUAACUCCGUG
rnacentral:rRNA from 1 species